rnacentral:rRNA from 1 species
GACGAACGCUGGCGGCGUGCUUAACACAUGCAAGUCGAACGGAAAGGCCCUGCUUUUGUUGGGUUCUCGAGUGGCGAACGGGUGAGUAACACGUGAGUAACCUGCCCUUGACUUUGGGAUAACUUCAGGAAACUGGGGCUAAUACCGGAUAGGAGCUCCUGCUGCAUGUUGGGGGUUGGAAAGUUUCGGCGGUUGUGGAUGGACUCGCAGCUUAUCAGCUUGUUUGUGGGGUAGUGGCUUACCAGGGCUUUGACGGGUAGCCGGCCUGAGAGGGUGACCGGCCACAUUGGGACUGAGAGACGGACCAGAAUCGUAUGGGAGGCAGCAGUGGAGAAUAUUGCACAAUGGGCGGAAGUCUGAUGCAGAAACGCCGCGUGCGGGAAGCCGGCCUUCGGGUUGUAAACCGCUUUCGCAUGUGACGAAGCGGGAGUGACGGUAACGGGUAAAAAAGCCCCGGCUAACUACGUG